rnacentral:rRNA from 1 species
GGAAUAUUGGUCAAUGGAGGGAACUCUGAACCAGCCAUGCCGCGUGCAGGAUGACUGCCCUAUGGGUUGUAAACUGCUUUUGUCAGGGAAUAAACCUUUCCACGUGUGGGAAGCUGAAUGUACCUGAAGAAUAAGGAUCGGCUAACUCCGUGCCAGCAGCCGCGGUAAUACGGAGGAUCCAAGCGUUAUCCGGAUUUAUUGGGUUUAAAGGGUGCGUAGGCGGUCCUAUAAGUCAGUGGUGAAAGACGGCAGCUUAACUGUCGCAGUGCCUUUGAUACUGUAGGACUUGAAUCUAUUUGAAGUGGGCGGAAUAAGACAAGUAGCGGUGAAAUGCAUAGAUAUGUCUUAGAACUCCGAUUGCGAAGGCAGCUCACUAAGUUAGUAUUGACGCUGAUGCACGAAAGCGUGGGGAUCAAACAGGAUUAGAUACCCUGG